rnacentral:misc_RNA from 1 species
AUCUGAACUGUCUGAAAAAUAUGGAGCUGAAGAUGGCUGGAAAGAGUUUUUCUCAUUCCAUGUUGAAACAGUAGAGGGUGCAGUUAAGUCAUGGCAUGAAACUUCAAAAGUGGAUCCUAGAGUUUAUUUCCUUCUGAACAAGGAGAAGACAGACACGGAAAAGUACGCUCCAGCUGUUAAUAUAGAUAAGGCUUUUGAGUCACCCCAUACGCACAGCAAUUGUUUUGCAUUUCUUCGACAGUAUGCUGAAGAUUCUUUCGCUCAAGCUGCGUGUUUAGUGACACCAAAAAGUAUCAUAUCUUAUCCACAGGUUUGGAAAGGUCAAGGAUCAAGAAAGUGGAAGCAUGGUCAAAAUGAUGGAAUUUUCGUCCAAUUUGAAUCUCCUCUAGUGCGGAAGUUGUGGUUUAUCCCUAGCUCCACUGAGAAAGGCAAAACAUUAUGCAGGGAUCCAGUGCCUUUGGAUAUUAGUGCACAUGAAAUCCUCCCGCGUGUAUUCAAGCAAGAAUAGUUGAGAUAGAUGCAGUUCCAUAUCUUGGGUUAGCUCUUUGUGGGAUUGUGUUGGGGAGAAAAUGGGCCUGUUAACUACGAGGAAAAGCACGAACGGUACAUCACAUAUUUUUAUUGGAUUAGCACAACAUGUAGGAUGCUGUCAAACUCCCACAGUUCUCUCAUAUUGGUGAGGUAGGUUACAUUAGCUGUCAAGAUAUCAAAAUCCUUUGAAGUUUUCCUAUAGUAAAUUAGAAUUUCCGGGUGUCCCGUAACCCUCUGUAUUUUCAUUUUACUUUCACUCUGUUGUUGGCUGUUUUGAUCUGGCAGUGAGUUUUCUUAGAAGUCAUUUUUUCAAUUGUUUUCGGAUUGGAACUCUUGUAAAUUUGCGCGGCUAGAAGCAAUGUUGCUGUUUUUACCUUGACUUCUCUCUACCUGAAAGUAUAUUGGAG